rnacentral:lncRNA from 1 species
AUUUACACGAAAGCGGUCCAGUUCAGCCCACAGAUGAAUCAAGGUUAAGCUCUAAAUCAUGAAUGGCAGGGGUUAACAUUCAAAUCAUUUUUUUUAAAAAAACAAUUGCCAAGUAUACAUGAUUUUAUGUAGUUGUGAGUAUGCUAUAUUUAGUUUUGAACAAGUCAGCACACUAUAAUGCUUGUAUUAUGACUACAUUAACAUCAUUGAGCCAUUUUCAUAUUCUAAAUUUAGUUAUCACGGUAUAGUAAACCAAAAACCAAACAAUUGUGGUCUAACACAAUAGGAAAAGUAAUCACGUAACUGUAACGGCUCAACAAUCCCAAAUCGAAGAGUCCUAAUUACACAAAUCGUGUAGUAUUUCAUAUAAACAUGAUUGCCUUACAGUUUUCAAAACAAAACAAAGCAGGAAAAACAAGGAUCAACUCAAAUAGCAUUCAUCAGUUAACUCUUCAACAUCAGACCUAAAGUGAUCCCUUCACAGUUUUAUACAAGACUAGGAGAGUACCUAGAAAUUGAGAUAAUAAGAAGAAGGAAAGGUCAGCAACAGCAGUGAACAAGAAGAUGACCAAACACAGCCCAGAAACAAGUUCAAUAACCAGAAAGUGUACGAAAUCAACAGGAUCAGUAAAUCAACCAAACGCAGCUUGAAUAGAACCCAAAUGUACUCGAAAUUACACUCAGGAACAAUUUCUGAAAUCGGCAACCAAUAAAACAGCCCAAAACAGUCUCGAGUGAGCUCAAACUCACCCGAGAUGAACCCAUGACACUCUAGAAAACUCCAACAAUCAAACCUUAGGCUAAAUGAUGCAAAUCCAACACUACAUUCUGAAAUCAACCUAAAAUCUCAAUAGAACAAUACCUUUUUUGAAUUUUUCUGCUUUUUUCUUUUUGUUUUUGGUUUUUAGGAACUAAAUCUAGAAGUUUGGAUUCGAAAUCAAAUCUUCAGCUUGUGAAGACUUGUGGAAAUUUUAGAGGCUGAAAAACUUAUUAAACAAGGCAAUGCCAUGCCUUUCUUUAGGCACAAGUGAGGGCAACCCUCAGCUUUUCUAUUUUCUUUUUAGUCCCCUUUUUAUUUUUAGAUUUUAACUAAUUAGUCCCUUAUUUACUGACUUGUUACUCAAGUCACUACACUUAUUUUUGUGAAUUUCAACUUAAAACCCUUUCUAGAAAGUCCUAGGGGAUUCCAUUUUCAGUUACUAAAAUAUUCUUUAUUUGGAAAAACCCAUAUUACCCCUUAUUCAAUCUAAAAUUUACCUCAAACUAGAAUUAACUAACCCAGCCCCUUAACCAUGGUUAAUUACCAAAAGCAAAGGGAAAUUCAGCUAAAAUCCAAACAGACCCUAUAAUUGAACUAACAUGGAACUUAAAUCUAACUGAAUUAUUAGUCCAAACUAAGAGAAUUCACCAAUCAAGUCAAAAAUUAAAACAAAAUUGAACUGGGGUCGAAUCAUUCGUGGCAAACAUGAAUUACUCACUCGACAACAAUCACGAAUUCAAACCAGCAGAAAAUCAGAGCAAAAUUGAACCAAAAACUAAAGGCUAAACCAGAAUCAAUUAUCAUAAAGAAAAUUUAAUUAAAUACAAUAAAAACCUACUGGCUUAUUUUUAAUUUAAAACUACAUCCUAGCAUACUGACUAACAACAAAAAACUAUAACGGCAAAGCUUAAAUGAACAACUUCGUAUUGUAGAUUAGUAGAAUUCAGACAGAACGAAGUGAACAAAAAUAGAAACAGAUAGGAUUACUGAUUCCAAAAACAAAACUCAGAUCAAUUAUUCAUGAAGUAAAACAAUGAAGAAGAGAGGAUAAUUCAAAAAUAAAAAGAAGAAUAAACAACUCACUGAUUUUACGUCUUCACAUGGCUAACCUCGAAUUUUGAUUUUCAAUUAAUGUUGCAUGCAUAUUUAGUCCAAAAUAGACAUAUAACAUUAAUUUAAAAUCAAUUGAAUCCUUGAAACUCCUAAAAUAGGCUGAAACCUCGAACCUUAAAUCUGAAAUUCAUGGGGUUCUACUUAGAUUUGAAAGGUUUCGAAUUGGGUUUCAGAAUGAGGAGACCAAGGAGAUUGUAGGGUAUAAUUUGGACGAAUUCGAAAAGGUAUGGUUUUUGGUUGGAUUUUCAACUGAAGAUUCGAAGAAUUUGGUUGUGAUUUGGAGAAAACAGAACCCGGAUUGGUGAUGAGGAGGAAGAGGAGAAGGCAUGGUGUGGAUUUGGAGGCUGAAGGAGGUGGCGACGUCGGAGAACUGACAGAGAAAACUAGGGCGGCAGUUCUCUAGAGUUUGAGAUUGGGUCUCUGAUGAGGGUGAGUGAGGGAGACGGGUUCGAGAGGGAGGGGGGAACCGUUCGGACAUAUAAAUAUCAAACAAA